rnacentral:rRNA from 1 species
UACGGGGGGGGCAAGCGUUGUUCGGAAUUACUGGGCGUAAAGGGCUCGUAGGUGGCCAACUAAGUCAUGCGUGAAAUCCCUCGGCUUAACCGGGAAACUGCGUCUGAUACUGGAUGGCUUGAGUUUGGGAGAGGGAUGCGGAAUUCCAGGUGUAGCGGUGAAAUGCGUAGAUAUCUGGAGGAACACCGGUGGCGAAGGCGGCAUCCUGGACCAAUACUGACACUGAGGAGCGAAAGCCAGGGGAGCAAACGGG